AUUGAACGCUGGCGGCAUGCUUUACACAUGCAAGUCGAACGGUAACAGGCCUUCGGGUGCUGACGAGUGGCGAACGGGUGAGUAAUGCAUCGGAACGUGCCCAGAGGUGGGGGAUAACGCAGCGAAAGCUGUGCUAAUACCGCAUGUGAUCUGAGGAUGAAAGCGGGGGACCAGGCAGCAAUGUUUGGCCUCGCGCCUUUGGAGCGGCCGAUGUCAGAUUAGGUAGUUGGUGGGGUAAAGGCCUACCAAGCCGACGAUCUGUAGCUGGUCUGAGAGGACGACCAGCCACACUGGGACUGAGACACGGCCCAGACUCCUACGGGAGGCAGCAGUGGGGAAUUUUGGACAAUGGGCGCAAGCCUGAUCCAGCAAUGCCGCGUGCGGGAAGAAGGCCUUCGGGUUGUAAACCGCUUUUGUACGGAACGAAAAGGCUCUGGCUAAUACCGGGGGCUGAUGACGGUACCGUAAGAAUAAGCACCGGCUAACUACGUG
rnacentral:rRNA from 1 species